CCCUUAGAUGUUCUGGGCCGCACGCGCGCUACACUGAUACGUUCAACGAGUAUAUAACCUUGAUUGGAAAAUCUGGGUAAUCUUUUGAAUGCGUAUCGUGCUAGGGAUAGAUUAUUGCAAUUAUUAAUCUUGAACGAGGAAUUCCUAGUAAACGCAAGUCAUCAGCUUGCAUUGAUUACGUCCCUGCCCUUUGUACACACCGCCUGUCGCACAAACCGAUUGAAUGAUUCGGUGAAAAUUUUGGACAUCGAGAGUGGUGAUUAAUUUCGCUGCUCUUAAAUGGAAAGAAUUUAAACCUAAUUAUUUAGAGGAUUGUGAAGUCAUAACA
rnacentral:rRNA from 1 species